rnacentral:lncRNA from 1 species
UGAACACCAGCUAGCAUUUAUGAGAUUUCAAAAAUUAUAUAUGUUAUAGAAAGGUAGUGGCAAAAUCAUCAUAUAUGAGUAGAAAUUGCUAAUAGUUCAAACGUAAAGUACUUCCAAACAUACAUUCUUGAUUUAAAUUAAAAAAACCAUGCAUUUUAUUUUCCAAAAAAUGGCUUCAGAAUUCUAAAAUGUUCUGCUUACAGCAAUAGCAACGACGCAAAAAAAAAAUACAAACCAAGCUCACUAUAAUGUUUUAUUAUGAUGGGGAAAUGAAAGAGCCAUGAUUUUAAACUGGAAGUAAUAUCUAAACUACAAUCCAUUACUAAUAUAGCUUCUCCAUCACAUAAACCAUAAAAAAGUACAAUUAUAAAAAGGAAGGGGGAAACCCAAAAUCUAACAACAUUCAUCAUUAAAACCUAGAAAUCAAAAAGCAAACAAAACUCUUAUUGCGGAAGAGAAAUUGGAAAAGAAAAGUACCAAGGAGCACUCGUGCCAACUCAAUUUGCGGUGCUUUUUUUAUGUGAGGAGGAUUAAGCAAUGAAAAAGGGAAAGCUAUUUCUUUGAGAUUGUAUCAGACGUAGUCAUACAGCUUCCUGCACACAACUUUUACCUUCAUUUUAGGUUAAUAUAAGAGAUAACCAAUUUGAUUAAGCUAAUGAAUUAUCUUUGUUGUUUCACGAUUUAAAUAUUUAGAAGAAAGCAGGCUAUUAACAGG